GUCCACGCCGUAAACGAUGAAUACUAGGUGUUGGGGAGCAAAGCUCUUCGGUGCCGCAGCAAACGCAAUAAGUAUUCCACCUGGGGAGUACGUUCGCAAGAAUGAAACUCAAAGGAAUUGACGGGGGACCCGCACAAGCGGUGGAGCAUGUGGUUUAAUUCGAAGCAACGCGAAGAACCUUACCAAAUCUUGACAUCGAUCUGACCGGACCGUAAUGGGUCCUUUCCCUUCGGGGACAGAGAAGACAGGUGGUGCAUGGUUGUCGU
rnacentral:rRNA from 1 species